UCUGAGGCAGCAUUCAGUGUUCUGCCCUUAUCGUGUGGUCUGAGGCAGCAUUCAGUGUUCUGCCCUUAUCGUGUGGUCUGAGGCAGCAUUCAGUGUUCUGCCCUUAUCGUGUGGUCUGAGGCAGCAUUCAGUGUUCUGCCCUUAUCGUGUGGUCUGAGGCAGCAUUCAGUGUUCUGCCCUUAUCGUGUGGUCUGAGGCAGCAUUCAGUGUUCUGCCCUUAUCGUGUGGUCUGAGGCAGCAUUCAGUGUUCUGCCCUUAUCGUGUGGUCUGAGGCAGCAUUCAGUGUUCUGCCCUUAUCGUGUGGUCUGAGGCAGUAUUCAGUGUUCUGCCCUUAUCGUGUGGUCUGAGGCAGCAUUCAGUGUUCUGCCCUUAUCGUGUGGUCUGAGGCAGCAUUCAGUGUUCUGCCCUUAUCGUGUGGUCUGAGGCAGUAUAACUGCCUCAUGAUCGCUUCUGAAACUACAGGACACAGUUCCAGGUCAACUAUAUUGCAGUCGAUGCAUUGCAUUAACAUGAAAUCUGGCGUCUGAAACAUAGUCAGCCUGGAACGCGUCCGUUCAGUCUUCCUGUCAGUGAGUGUUGUGUUGCCUGUAUUUUUCCUGAAAGGUUUUCUGCAUGCGUGUGCUUUUUUACAUCGUCUGGUCGUGUGUUUAUGAACGUCUGAUUCCUUAAAAGACUACAAUCAGAGCAGAAACGCACCCUAUCCCCUAUAUAUAUAUAUAUGGCACUACUUUUGACCAGAGUCCUAUGGGCCCUAGUCAAAAGUAGUGCACUAUGUAGGGGAUAGGGUGCUGUUGGGGAUGUUGCAGCUCUGUGUGUGUGUGUGUGUGUGUGUGUGUGUGUUAGAAGGAAACAUGACAUUUGAAACAUUUGCAUGAGAGUGACAAUUUUUGAUAAACUUCCUCUUUUAAAAAAAAUAAAAAUACUUAUCCGAGAGGAUUUGAAGUCCCGAUGAAACUAAACACUGAUUUGUUUCCUGACUCUGGGUGUCCUGAUGGCAACCUAUUCUCUAUCUAGUGCACUACUUUUUGACCAGAGUCCUUAUGUGCCAUGGG
rnacentral:lncRNA from 1 species